rnacentral:tRNA from 1 species
UAGGCUAUAGUUUAACAAGUAAAAUUUUUGAUUUGCAAUCAAGAGACGUCUAACAGGACUAGCUUAA